GCACUCCUCUUCAUAAUGCAGCAAUAGAAGGACAUAAUGAAGUUGUAUCAGUUUUAUUGUCUAAUGGUGCUGAUCCAAACAUUAAAGAUGAAGAUGAAAGGUCUCCUCUUCACCAUGCAGCAUCAAGAGGACGUAAUGAAGUUGUAUCAGUUUUAUUGUCUAAUGGUGCUGAUCCAA
rnacentral:lncRNA from 1 species